rnacentral:rRNA from 1 species
UACAGAGGGGGCAAGCGUUGUUCGGAAUUACUGGGCGUAAAGGGCGCGUAGGCGGCCUUCUAAGUCGAACGUGAAAUCCCCGGGCUCAACCCGGGAACUGCGUCCGAUACUGGAAGGCUUGAAUCCGGGAGAGGGAUGCGGAAUUCCAGGUGUAGCGGUGAAAUGCGUAGAUAUCUGGAGGAACACCGGUGGCGAAGGCGGCAUUCUGGACCGAUAUUGACGCUGAGGAGCGAAAGCCAGGGGAGCAAACGGG